rnacentral:rRNA from 1 species
CAGUAGCCACGGGAAUACGGAGGGGGCUAGCGUUGUUCGGAAUUACUGGGCGUAAAGCGCACGUAGGCGGCUUUGUAAGUUAGAGGUGAAAGCCCGGAGCUCAACUACGGAAUUGCCUUUAAGACUGCAGAGCUAGCAGGUGAGAGAGGUGAGUGGAAUUCCGAGUGUAGAGGUGAAAUUCGUAGAUAUUCGGAAGAACACCAGUGGCGAAGGCGGCUCACUGGACCAUUUCUGACGCUGAUGCAUGAAAGCUAGGGGAGCAAACAGGAUUAGAUACCCCCGUAGUCCCUGUCUCUUAUAC